CACACACACACACACACUUACACAGAAGCCCUCCACACACACACACACACACUUACACAGAAGCCCUCCACACACACACAAAGACGUUAUGCCUUUAAUCAGGAUCAGAUUUCAAAGUGCCUACAUGUUUUGGGGCAACAGGGACGAGCCCCAAAUAGCCGAUUAUUAUUAUUAAGUCUUUGUCCUGUUUGCCAAAGUCUGUCCGUGUGUCUCGUCCCAAAGCAUCUGACCACCAAUACCUCAAAUGUGACAUCUGCAAGGUGGCACUCGCGUUCUCAGAGAAGACGUCUCUCGGGAGUAUGCAAAAACGCCCCAAAACCCUCGCUUGUGAGUCUGCGGCCUAGUCGGAUCUCUUCCACCAAGCACCCAGAACCAUAUUAAACCUCCCCAGAACAUUAUGCAGGCGGAGGAAAAACAGCUAAUGGAAUAAUCCCCCCGUCCUCGCUUUGGAGCGCAGAAGAUCCACACAAACCCAAAACAAUGCCGGCCGGCGGAAGGCAGAGGACCAAAAAUAAGCCGGUGGGAGGGUUUUGUUUUGCGAAGGAGCUCAUUGGCAGCUGCUUCAUCUGUGAAGUGCUUCGUUUGGAACAUUUAUAGAACUAUGUUUCACCUCGUGAAUAUUCAUGCGAGGAAAGCAGAAUGUUUCUCUGUUUCAGGUAAAGAGCACAUUUUAAAAGUGAUUUUAGGUCCCAAAAGCUGUAAAAAAACAACAACUACAGGACCAACCGGCAGAAGCUCUCUGCUUGGGAGAUAUUUCCCAUAAGACUCAGUAACGACCAAAAAUAGAGAUUAAAGCAGAGUAAAUAUUAAAAAGACGUUCAUCAUAUAUUCAUACUGCUGUCUGCUGGGUACGAAAAACACGCCACAUCAUGUCGACAAGUUUGCCAUCACCACGUCCUCGCUGCCUCGCAGGGAGCUGAAUGAAAGCAGCUUCAGCAUAUUACACGUAUGUAAUGACUCACAAGCAGACGUAAAAAAUACAUUUCAAAUCAUUGCCAUCGGAAAGAUGUGUCAUCGUAAAAUUGAGUUGUUGAGUUGUUGCAUAUAACCUGUUUAACAUAACGUUGGAUAACUCAUCUUAACACUAAUAUGCCGUAAUCUGAACAUUUAUGAGUAAAAUCUUCUUAGUGAGUUGACGAACUAGUUAAAUAGCAACAAGGCCUUUGGGUCGGAGCCCGUCCUUGUGUUUUAUAUUAUAGCUCCGUGUUCAAAGGCCGCUUGCUGCUACAGGAACAGGCUGGUCCACUGUGUGUGUGUGUGUCUGUGUCUGUGUGUGUGUGUGUGUGUGUGUGUGUGUGUGUGUGUGUGUGUGUGUGUGUCACGCUUCGGGCUCAGAAAUGUGACACCUCAAAGAUGAGAGCGUGAAAUAAUCAAACGUGAGGGAAUUUCCUGCUGCUCUAGACGUGUAAAAGUCACAAUUUUCAAGCAUGUCAGAGCUAAAUUAUGAAGAAAUAUCAACAGGAUUUGAACAAAUAACAGAAACGGAUUGGAAGCUGACUUCUAUUGGGACCAAUAUGUCAAACGCUGCUGCUUCAUCUGGGGAGGAAAUAAAACAUCAUAAAUCAUUAAAAGAUUUAUGUCUGGUGCCGUUGUUUCUUUGUAUUUGCACCCAGAAGCAGCAGCAGGCGUUACGACACAUCCGGGUGGUGCAUGUUGAAAUGCUACACACUUCAGUGUGGAGGGUUUGCAUCACAAAGAAAGGACGAGGUGGUGAAGGGUGACGGAGGCCCAACUCAUUAUUAAUGGAGCUUAAGCGGCAGUUCUAGAAGGAAGACCUUUAUGCCACACGUAACGUAGAGACGCUUCAGCUGGUCCCCCAGAACUACCCAACCAGCGGAGAUGUAUGCGACCAACAGAGGCGGCGCUGUGGCUCUAAACCAAUCACAUAGUUGCUGUCAAACCUUUUUCAAAGGGUUCUCUCUGUGUCGCUGUCAGGUGUCAUUUCAGAGUGAAACCGGAUGCGACCCUCCUCCACCCAUCAGGCGCCCCCAGCAGCUGUCAGGCAUUCUUCACUUGUCCUUGGUUUUCAUCAACUCUCUUCUUCACCACCACCACCACCACCAGUGUCUGGACUCCAGGGGGGGAUUCUGCCAAGCAGAACAUCACCGCCCCUUGAUUAUCCCGGUUUAGGAUGGAGUGCAAUCGCCAAAGAUUCUGCACAUUUCAAUAUUAUACAUUAUGUGUAAAGUUUGUCAAUUCGGACGGAGUCUGUCCUGAUUGAAAUAGCCUGAUGUGGAAAUGGAGCUGCGAUGCAGCACCUGCAGCCGGCGCAGAGACGUCCGUCAGGCGCUCACACACCGCGGAGGCGGGACUUAUUUCGGUUAAUCAUUUGAAGCAAUGAUGGCCUCCGCCUUCCUUCCUCUGGGGAGGACCGAGCGGGAAGCUUCGCUUGUGCGAAGGCAUGUUGUCACAAAAGCAUUUUUUAUGUACAGUACGUGCUUGUGUGUUUGUGCGUGUGUGUGUGUGUGUCAGCUUUUAUUGAACGCGUUACUGAAGCGGCGUCCUUAGGUCAACACACACAUGCACACACGCUCACAAUGUAAGUUAGCCGGCGAGAACGAUGUCGUUUUUGUGGUACGCUGAAAAUAACGAGGCUGCUGUUUCCCAUGAUGCCUCACUGGCUGAGCGCCCCCCCCCCCUCGCGGCCAAUCAAGUGGCAGACACCCGCUCAUUAGAGCUUAAGCAGGCAGUCACACAUUGUUGUACGUACACACACACACACACAGUCUGACUUCACCUAAUGCUGAUUUAGCAGCACACACCGUCUGUCAGGAAUGAUUAACCUUUCCAUCAAUCUCAGGUUUCUCCAUUAUUCCAGACACACACACACACACACACACCGGCUCGCACACGGUUAGGUGUGAGCGAGUGCGCCCGCCCACACACACGAACACGUAUGAACAGGUUGUCAUCCUCAAGGUCUUACGCGAUAAGAGGCUCGAUGAAUCUGUUCUCAUAACUAGAGGCGGGAUGUGUUGAGAGGCGUAGGGGCCACGGAGGUCGAGGCCGCGGAUCAAUAAAACAAAAUGAUGUUGUUCUGAUUGUUUCACGGCGAGCACAAAUAAACACACACACACACACACACACACACACACAGCUUAAGAUGCGCUGCAUCGGGCUGCUGGCUGUCUGUGUGUCUGCAGGUCAUAUGGCAUAAUAAUAGAACAAGGUAGAAGUAGCUAGCAGCAGCUAACCGUAGCUAGCAGUAGUUAGCAGUAGGUAGUAGUAGCUAAUAGUAGCUAGUGGUAGCUAACAGUAGUUAGCAGUAGGUAGUAGUAGCUGAUAGUAGCUAGUAGUAGCUAACAGUAGCUAGCAGUAGGUAGCAGUAGCUAAUAGUAGCUAGUAGUAGCUAGCAGUAGGCAGCAGUAGCUAGUAGUAGCUAGUAGUAGCUAACAGUAGUUAGCAGUAGGUAGUAGUAGCUAAUAGUAGCUAGUAGUAGCUAACAGUAGGUAGCAGUAGGUAGCUUGUCCACAGGCCAGUGGAGUCAUCGGGAUGAUGAGACUGCAGAUGCCCUGCAGCGACUGUUUGGCAAUUUGUGUUGUAGCGCUCGCUAGGGAGCAACACACUAUUAGAUGUUUGAGAAAGAUGACACACUUCAUCCACAGGACAAUACUGAGCGGAGAAGGAGUUUAGAAAUGUUUGAUUACAUUGUUAAAGGAGCUCUGGGCGGGAUUUUCCAGCAGCAUGAGAGAAGAAGUCCAAACUAAAUGAGACACAGAGGAUUGUGAGUAUUGUUGUACAAACUAGUGUCUCCCUGCACACACACACACACACACACACACAGCCAAGGGUUCAGCGUCAGUUGACUUUAAGAGUAAAACAAAAAGUGUGUACGUCAUUGAUGCAGCGGAGUGAACACGAUUCCUUUCUUCGUUUAACCUUGUCGUCAUAUUCACCGGUUCAGUUUCUUUUGUAGAGUCACAGCGCACGUUAUGUGAAAGUUGCACUGGCUGCCAGCUAUGUACAGUUUUAAUAAUCAGAUGGGGCGAAGAUGAAUCAUUAAAACCAAAUUGACAAUUUCAAAAAUGCCCAGCCGAGGCCGCAAUGUUGCUGACAAAAGGAGGCCGAUUCCAGCUCGGAGUCUGCCGUCCAAACCGUCCUCUACAUGUCCCUCCAAAACAAGCAUCUUGGCCGUAAAGUGACCCGCGCGCGCAACCUUUGCCUCCUUCUCCGCUUACAAAGUGACACCCCCGCGACAGCUCGCGCGCACAAUCCGCUCACUUCAAAGCAUCCGUGCAGAAAAACGUUACACGCGGAACGAGUGAAGCAGACGCUUUCAGGAAGUCAGUAAUCAUGAUGCGCCACAGUUCGGCUGUUUGUGAUUGUUGCACAAAACAAAACAUCUGUUAUCUGUAGUCCAAUGGUGUGUGUGUGUCUGUGUGUGUGUGUGUGUGUGUGUGCGCGCGGGUGGGUGUUCCAUUAUUUGCAUCAUUUAUCUCAAUUGCCGGUUCGACCAUCACAGCGGAGGCCGUCUCCGUCUCUGUCAACACAGCAGCAGCAGCCUGGCUGGCUGGCGAGCGUCAAUUCCCCGUCACGUUCAACCAGUCGUGUGUGUCUGUCACACACAGGCAGACACACACAAACACACACACACACACACACACAGAGUGGACAACACGGGAGACACAAACAUCCACUUUGUGGCAGAGUUACAGGUCGUGUGAACACUUUCCACCAUAAUGUGUUUUAAUGGGAAGUGGCAGUGAAAAAAGUGAUUGUGUGUGUUUGUGUUGCGUGUGUUUGUGCGUGUGCUCAGCGAACACGCCGAUGUUGCUUUUAUAACAUUUUACAGUUGGCUGCAUGUAUCAAGACGAGAGGGAUAUAAACAGCUUGAGGUGUCUGAGUGAUGCCUCUUCAGCUUCUGCUCGGUCUGUGUGUGUGUGUGUGUGUGCACACGCGUGUGUGUGUGCGUGCGCGCGUGUGUCACAUACUGUAGAAAUAGAAAGACAGAGCGCGAGCUGCUCUCCUCGGUGAGUUAUUGCACGCAGUCACCAGGCCAUUUGUCUGGCAAAGUUGUAAAGGCAAACUUUGCAGAAGUUCUCAGACAGGCCAUAACACGCUCCACCUCCCCGAGCACAUAAGCUCUGCUUUCUAUUACUGAGGAAUCUGGCUGCCGCUCCGUCAGCGCGGAGGUCCCACACUGCACCGCACGCCGCCGAGGCAACAAAUAGCCACGUCCGUCGGGUGGGAGAAAAAAAGCUCGGGCCCACUUCUCGGAGUGCUGUUUUCUGGAGGCGCGUCGGAUUGAUCCGCAGCGCGACCCUUUUUUUUUUUGAGGAUUAUCUGCUUAAACAGAUGUGCCUUUAAGAGGAAUUAUUCACACACCAAAAAAAGAAUAAUCCAUCUACUGAGGAGAUAGCGGCGGCUUUAGUCGGCUGAGGCGUCACCGCAGUUUUGGGUCGCCGGACCAUCGACAAACUGGACGCUUCAUCUUUGCACUCCACUCCUGUCACGGGGUCCCGUGGGGGACGAGGCCACGCGGUACCUGUUGGUCCACGAUGCGGCCAACGCGGUAGAAACUAUCUAAGAUCAGCACUUUCAAGAGGUCCACAUUGUGAAUUUACAUUCCUACACAAACACGCCAUGAACAUAAUCAAUUUUCAUCCCUGAGAUUGGAUUGGACCCUAUUUAAUUGUUUAAUUAAAAUAAUUCACAGACUGCUAUGAUCCCUUUGUAAUAAAUUGAUUUUGGUCUGAAGUAUUGCGGCGAUAAACGGUGUGAACCGGCUCCCGUAAUGGAUUAAAACAGUGACUCAGGGAACGAAAAACUCCUCAAGGGGACGAGUGUCUGCAGCGAACCACGACGCACAACCCUGAACCGCGCGGUGGUUUUGAAACGUUGUCACCCAUUUUUGUUUGUCGUCCCGUGCAGAGACCAAAGACGACGACGCCGCCGCCGCCGCGCACGGGCGUCUCAGAGCUGCCCGCCGAUGCUCUGUGGUGCUUAACGGAAAACAGCUGCCGGACAAACAGGUCACAAUGACCGCCGCGCGUCCUCGCGACAGACACACUCCUGCAGCCUCCCGCGUGCGUCGGGCCUCGUCUUUUGGAGACGAGCGAUGUCGCCGGCGUGGAGUCUGUUAGUUUUGCAUGUCUACAACGUCUGACAAAUCCUUUUUCAUAUCAGAGUGUGGCGUGCGUGGGCGUGUGUGCGUGUUUAUUUGUCCGGGUUCACACGUUGCUUUCAGAAAUGUUUAUCCUCAACAUUAGUGUGCGUCCGAGAGUGUGUACGCGUGUGUGCUGCCGAGUGUGAAAUCCCAUUAAGUGUGUUAAAACCCUCUUUGGCCUACUGCCUGCCCAGAGAGACAGACUACACACACACACACACGCACACACGAGUGCGAGUUAACACACCUGUGUGCACGUGUGUUUUUGUGUGCAGGCCAGUGUGUGUCCUGCUUUGUCAGGUGUUUGGGGUCCUUGGUGUGCACUUCAUAACAUCUACACACUCGUUACCUCAUCUCACCUACGGGGUCUUCCGUGUGCCACACAAGUAUUUAAGGAGUUUUCACGUCAUAAUUAACGGGUAGAUUGAUGCAUUAUUUGUAAAAGCAACACUUCUCAAAGUAAAUCAAAGGAUCGUUACGUUGAUUUGACUUAUUAGAAAGGCUCUUAUUUUGAAAUGGAAAACCUGAGUAAAUGAACGUUAUUAAAGCCAUUUGAACAAAAUUUUGUGAAAAGCAUGAAAAAAUGACUGAAAAUACUGAAAAUACUCACACGUUAAAAAGUAAUAUACAUAAAAUUGUUCUUUUCUAAGAAAAAAAAGUUUUUGUUCCACUAAAGUAUUGUUAAGUAACACAAUGAAGCAGUAAAAUUACCAGAACCAAAUAGUUUGAUGCUUCUAUUUCUAUUUCCGUGACCCUCCUCGUUGACUUUUGGAUUAGGAUCAAUAACUCACAGUCUUUCUCAUCUACCUGCUGUAACACACACAACACAGCGUUGGACGAUUAGUACAAAACUCAACGUGUUGAAACGGGAAACAAGUUGAAAAAGGAUCCGUAGUCGGAAUCAUUUGCAGAAUUGACAUUGUGGUUCAGCUGUUCAAAUUACCCCGACAAACUGCACGCCGGCUACAGCUCACGACAAGAAGAAAACACGGAAAAGAGGAGGAACAACGAGAGACCAGCUGUGUCUGUUUGGAGGGUUUUUGGUUUUGGAAAAUCCGACGAAAGUUACGUUAGAACAGUACUAGCAGCCACAACAAGCUAACGAGCUAACAGUUAGGAGCAAGUCGCUGUCCGGGUAACAAAGCGUCGGCCCUUUUCGGGGUCAAUGAAUGAAUGUGUUCACUUGCAAAAGCGUACCGUCAGAAUCUUACCGCACAGCCCUUCCUCAAGGCCCAUAAUGGACCUGGGAGUGAGGGGGGGUUUAGUUAUCUGAAGUAUCUGAUGCAUAAUCACUACAAGCAACUUGAGGUUCCGCUCUUUUCGUUUGACCACGAAAAGCAACACGAGGAUAAAACACAAACAAUUCUGAGACAGAGAUAUUUCCACAUCAGCCCUCUGCUCUCGUUUUCUCGCCUCUCUUUGGUGCAGCUCUGACUCUUCCCGUCUUUUCUCAGGGCGCCCCCCUCCCGACCCCC
ensembl:lncRNA